GGAGCUUGCUCCUCUGACGUUAGCGGCGGACGGGUGAGUAACACGUGGGUAACCUACCUAUAAGACUGGAAUAACUCCGGGAAACCGGGGCUAAUGCCGGAUAAUAUGCGGAACCGCAUGGUUCCGCAAUGAAAGACGGUUUUGCUGUCACUUAUAGAUGGACCCGCGCCGUAUUAGCUAGUUGGUAAGGUAACGGCUUACCAAGGCAACGAUACGUAGCCGACCUGAGAGGGUGAUCGGCCACACUGGAACUGAGACACGGUCCAGACUCCUACGGGAGGCAGCAGUAGGGAAUCUUCCGCAAUGGGCGAAAGCCUGACGGAGCAACGCCGCGUGAGUGAUGAAGGUCUUCGGAUCGUAAAACUCUGUUAUUAGGGAAGAACAAGUGCGUAGGUAACUAUGCGCACCUUGACGGUACCUAAUCAGAAAGCCACGGCUAACUACGUGCCAGCAGCCGCGGUAAUACGUAGGUGGCAAGCGUUAUCCGGAAUUAUUGGGCGUAAAGCGCGCGUAGGCGGUUUUUUAAGUCUGAUGUGAAAGCCCACGGCUCAACCGUGGAGGGUCAUUGGAAACUGGAAAACUUGAGUGCAGAAGAGGAAAGUGGAAUUCCAUGUGUAGCGGUGAAAUGCGCAGAGAUAUGGAGGAACACCAGUGGCGAAAGCGACUUUCUGGUCUGCAACUGACGCUGAUGUGCGAAAGCGUGGGGAUCAAACAGGAUUAGAUACCCUGGUAGUCCACGCCGUAAACGAUGAGUGCUAAGUGUUAGGGGG
rnacentral:rRNA from 1 species